rnacentral:rRNA from 1 species
UCUGACCUCAAAUCAGGU